rnacentral:rRNA from 1 species
UACGUAGGUGGCAAGCGUUAUCCGGAUUUAUUGGGCGUAAAGGGAACGCAGGCGGUCUUUUAAGUCUGAUGUGAAAGCCCCCGGCUUAACCGGAGUAGUGCAUUGGAAACUGGGAGACUUGAGUGCAGAAGAGGAGAGUGGAACUCCAUGUGUAGCGGUGAAAUGCGUAGAUAUAUGGAAGAACACCAGUGGCGAAAGCGGCUCUCUGGUCUGUAACUGACGCUGAGGUUCGAAAGCGUGGGUAGCAAACAGG